AUUGAACGCUGGCGGCGUGCCUAAUACAUGCAAGUAGGACACAGUUGCGAACGGGUGAGUAACGCGUAGGUAACUGCAGAUUCGAGGGGGAUAACUAUUGGAAACGAUAGCUAAUACCGCAUACUAGUAGAUGGACCUGCGUUGUAUUAGCUAGUAGGUAGGGUAAUGGCCUACCUAGGCGACGAUACAUAGCCGACUGGGGGGGGUGAUCGGCCACACUGGGACUUAGAAACGGCCCAGACUCCUACGGGAGGCAGCAGUAGGGAAUCUUCGGCAAUGGGGGGAACCCUGACCGGGCAACGCCGCGUGAGUGAAGAAGGUUUUCGGAUCGUAAAGCUCUGUUGUUAAGGAAGCGGUACUUAACCAGAAAGGGACGGCUAACGACGUGCCAGCAGCCGCGGUAAUUC
rnacentral:rRNA from 1 species